rnacentral:rRNA from 1 species
UCGAGAAUCUUCGGCAAUGGGCGCAAGCCUGACCGAGCGACGCCGCGUGGAGGACGAAGGCCUUCGGGUUGUAAACUCCUGUCGAGGGGGAAGAAGGGCCGCAAGGCCUUGACUGAUCCCUGGAGGAAGCACGGGCUAAGUUCGUGCCAGCAGCCGCGGUAAGACGAACCGUGCGAACGUUAUUCGGAAUCACUGGGCUUAAAGCGCGUGUAGGCGGGCCGGUGCGUCGGUCGCUGAAAUCCCCCGGCUCAACCGGGGAAGCGGCGCCGAGACGACCGGCCUCGAGGGACGUAGGGGGAGCUGGAACUUCCGGUGGAGCGGUGAAAUGCGUUGAGAUCGGAAGGAACGCCCGUGGCGAAAGCGAGCUCCUGGACGUUUUCUGACGCUGAGACGCGAAAGCCAGGGGAGCGAACGGGAUUAGAUACCCCUGUAGUCC